GCCAGUGUGGUGCAGUGGUUUAACUAUUGGCCUAGGAGUCCAAGAGACUAGGGUUCAAAUUCCUGCUCAGACA